UACUGUCAAGAAAAGCCGCUAUUGUUUGCAGGAUACCCGUACCGUAAACCGACACAGGUGGAUGAGGAGAGAAUCCUAAGGCCGACGGGAGAAGCAUUGUUAAGGAACUCGGCAAAAUGACUCCGUAACUUCGGGAGAAGGAGUGCCAGUAAGAUGGCCGCAGAGAAUUGGCCCAAGCAACUGUUUAGCAAAAACACAGGUCUAUGCAAAACCGAAAGGUGAGGUAUAUGGGCUGACGCCUGCCCGGUGCUGGAAGGUUAAGGGGAGAGGUUAGCGCAAGCGGAGCUUUGAACUUAAGCCCCAGUAAACGGCGGCCGUAACAAUAACGGUCCUAAGGUAGCGAAAUUCCUUGUCGGGUAAGUUCCGACCCGCACGAAAGGCGUAAUGAUUUGGGCACUGUCUCAACAAUGCACCCGGUGAAAUUGAAAUACCAGUGAAGAUGCUGGUUACCUGCGCCAGGACGGAAAGACCCCAUGGAGCUUUACUCCAGCUUGAUACUGGGAUUCGGUAUUGCAUGUACAGGAUAGGUGGGAGGCUAGGAAAUGGUAACGCCAGUUGCCAUGGAGCCAAUGUUGGGAUACCACCCUUGCAGUACUGGGUUUCUAACCAGCAGCCGUGAUCCGGCUGGGGGACAAUGUCAGGUGGGGAGUUUGACUGGGGCGGUCGCCUCCGAAAGGGUAUCGGAGGCGCUCAAAGGUUCCCUCAGAAUGGUUGGAAACCAUUCGAAGAGUGCAAAGGCAGAAGGGAGCUUGACUGCGACACCGACGGGUGGAGCAGGUACGAAAGUAGGACUUAGUGAUCCGGUGGUAUAAAGUGGGAUUGCCAUCGCUCAACGGAUAAAAGCUACCCUGGGAUAACAGGCUUAUCACUCCCAAGAGUUCACAUCGACGGAGUGGUUUGGCACCUCGAUGUCGGCUCAUCGCAUCCUGGGGCUGAAGUAGGUCCCAAGGGUUGGGCUGUUCGCCCAUUAAAGCGGUACGCGAGCUGGGUUCAGAACGUCGAGAGACAGUUCGGUCCCUAUCCGGCGUGGGCGUAAGAUAUUUGAGAGGAGCUGUCCUUAGUACGAGAGGACCGGGAUGGACUGGCCGCUGGUGUAUCUGUUGUCUUACCAAAGGCAUAGCAGAGUAGCCAAGCCGGGAAGGGAUAAACGCUGAAGGCAUCUAAGCGUGAAGCCCCCCUCAAGAUGAGAUAUCUCAUAACGUCAAGUUAGUAAGACCCCUUGAAGACGACGAGGUAGAUAGGGCAGAGGUGGAAGUGUGGUAACACAUGGAGCUGACUGUUACUAAUAGGUCGAGGGCAUAAUC
rnacentral:rRNA from 1 species